rnacentral:rRNA from 1 species
UACGGAGGGUGCAAGCGUUAUUCGGAAUUAUUGGGCGUAAAGCGCGUGUAGGCGGGGAUACAAGUCUGAUGUGAAAGCCCUGGGCUUAACCCGGGAAGUGCAUUGGAAACUGUAUUUCUUGAGUACUGGAGAGGAAGGGGGAAUUCCCGGUGUAGAGGUGAAAUUCGUAGAGAUCGGGAGGAAUACCAGUGGCGUAGGCGCCUUUCUGGACGGUUACUGACGCUGAGACGCGAAAGCGUGGGGAGCAAACAGG